CCUACGGGAGGCAGCAGUGGGGAAUAUUGCACAAUGGGGGGAACCCUGAUGCAGCGACGCCGCGUGAGUGAAGAAGUAUGUCGGUAGGUAAAGCUCUGUCAGCAGGGAAGAAGAAAGACGGAACCUGACCAAGAAGCCCAGGCUAACUACGUGCCAGCAGCCGCGGUAAUACGUAUGGGGCAAGCGUGAUCCGGAUUUACUGGGUGUAAAGGGAGCGUAGACGGCAGGGCAAGUCUGGAGUUAAAGGCAGGGGCCCACCCCCUGGACUGCUCUGGAAACUGUCCGGCUGGAGUGCAGGAGAGGUAAGUGGUCUUCCUAGUGUAGCGGUUACCUGCGUCGAUCUUAGGAGUAACACCAGUGGCGACGGCGGCUUACUGGACUGUACCUGACGUUGCGGCUC
rnacentral:rRNA from 1 species